rnacentral:rRNA from 1 species
GUCCAGACUCCUACGGGAGGCAGCAGUGGGGAAUAUUGCACAAUGGGGGAAACCCUGAUGCAGCAACGCCGCGUGAGUGAAGAAGUCAUUCGUGAUGUAAAGCUCUAUCAGCAGGGAAGAAAAUGACGGUACCUGAGUAAGAAGCCCCGGCUAACUACGUGCCAGCAGCCGCGGUAAUACGUAGGGGGCAAGCGUUAUCCGGAUUUACUGGGCGUAAAGCGCUCGUAGGCGGUAUGUCAAGUCAAGGGUGAAAUCCCCGCGCCCAACGUGGGAACUGCCUUUGAAACUGGCAAACUGGAGUGUGUGAGAGGAUAGUGGAAUUCCAGGUGUAGGAGUGAAAUCCGUAGAUAUCUGGAGGAACAUCAGUGGCGAAGGCGACUAUCUGGCACAUAACUGACGCUGAGGAGCGAAAGCGUGGGUAGCAAACAGGAUUAGAUACCCGAGUAAU